GUGGGGAAUCUUCCGCAAUGGACGAAAGUCUGACGGAGCAACGCCGCGUGAGUGAUGAAGGUCUUCGGAUUGUAAAGCUCUGUUAAUCGGGACGAAAGAGCCUAGUGUGAAUAAUGCUAGGAAGUGACGGUACCGGAAUAGAAAGCCACGGCUAACUACGUGCCAGCAGCCGCGGUAAUACGUAGGUGGCAAGCGUUGUCCGGAAUUAUUGGGCGUAAAGCGCGCGCAGGCGGAUCUGCCAGUCUGGAUUAAAAGUUCGGGGCUUAACGCCGUGAUGGGAUGGAGACUACAGAUCUAGAGGAUCGGAGAGGAAAGUGGAAUUCCUAGUGUAGCGGUGAAAUGCGUAGAUAUUAGGAAGAACACCAGUGGCGAAGGCGACUUUCUGGACGAAAACUGACGCUGAGGCGCGAAAGCCAGGGGAGCGAACGGGAUUAGAAACCCCUGUAGUCC
rnacentral:rRNA from 1 species